GUCGAGAAUCUUCCGCAAUGGGCGAAAGCCUGACGGAGCGACACCGCGUGCAGGAUGAAGGCCUUCGGGUUGUAAACUGCUGUCACGCUUUAGGAAUGACGUGGCGUAAAUAGCGCCACGGGUGACCAGGGCGAAAGGAAGCACCGGCUAACUCUGUGCCAGCAGCCGCGGUAAGACAGAGGGUGCAAACGUUGUUCGGAAUUACUGGGCAUAAAGCGCACGUAGGUGGUCUGCUAAGUCGAGUGUGAAAUCCCCCGGCUCAACCGGGGAAUUGCGCUCGAUACUGGCAGGCUCGAGGUUGGUAGGGGUGAGCGGAACUCCAGGUGGAGCGGUGAAAUGCGUAGAUAUCUGGAGGAACACCGGUGGCGAAAGCGGCUCACUGGACCGAAUCUGACACUGAGGUGCGAAAGCUAGGGUAGCAAACGGGAUUAGAUACCCUAGUAGUCC
rnacentral:rRNA from 1 species